rnacentral:rRNA from 1 species
UAGAGAUUACAUGGAAUACCAAUUGCGAAGGCAGGUUACUACUAAUGGAUUGACGCUGAUGGACGAAAGCGUGGGUAGCGAACAGGAUUAGAUACCCUGGUAGUCCACGCCGUAAACGAUGGAUACUAGCUGUUGGAAGCAAUUUCAGUGGCUAAGCGAAAGUGAUAAGUAUCCCACCUGGGGAGUACGUUCGCAAGAAUGAAACUCAAAGGAAUUGACGGGGGCCCGCACAAGCGGUGGAGCAUGUGGUUUAAUUCGAUGAUACGCGAGGAACCUUACCAAGGCUUAAAUGUAGAUUGACCGGUUUGGAAACAGAUCUUUCGCAAGACAAUUUACAAGGUGCUGCAUGGUUGUCGUCAGCUCGUGCCGUGAGGUGUCAGGUUAAGUCCUAUAACGAGCGCAACCCCUGUUGUUAGUUGCCAGCGAGUCAUGUCGGGAACUCUAACAAGACUGCCAGUGCAAACUGUGAGGAAGGUGGGGAUGACGUCAAAUC